UACGUAGGGUGCGAGCGUUAAUCGGAAUUACUGGGCGUAAAGCGUGCGCAGGCGGCGCGUUAAGCCAGGUGUGAAAGCCCCGAGCUUAACUUGGGAAUUGCGCUUGUGACUGGCGAGCUGGAGUGUGGCAGAGGGAGGUGGAAUUCCACGUGUAGCAGUGAAAUGCGUAGAGAUGUGGAGGAACACCGAUGGCGAAGGCAGCCUCCUGGGCCAGCACUGACGCUCAGGCACGAAAGCGUGGGGAGCAAACAGG
rnacentral:rRNA from 1 species